CGAUGUAGAAGUGAAUGCUAAAUUUUGCCAACAUUCAUCGCGCUCGCAAGAAGCAAAUCCCUAUACGUGUACAGAUCGAUUGCGCCUUUUCUCCAAACUCUCGCGAGUUUUUCCAUUCUUGUCUAAUAGAAGCUCUUCCCUUCUCGACUGACAAUAAUCCUUCCCAUCUCAGCUUUCUUCGACGAACGGUGUUGUUGGGUGUUGGUGUUAUUGUCCAAGUUCAUUGCAGAAGGUUUAAUGUGUAUCGUGAGUUGAGUGUGACAAAUCCCCCAAUUCUGCACUUCAAUCAAGACACAUUGCAAAGCACGGAGGACGUUAAAUAACGUCAAACAAGUUUUGGCUAGAGAUAAUUGAAAGUUAUAUCCUUACUUUCCACCUUUUCCUGAAAAAAAGAUAAGAAAAAAUCAAGUGGUACAACCAACCUGUUUGGAAAUCAGAACUAGCUUGCAACUCCUUUACAACAAAUUCAUUCUACUCUUGAAAAGCUCAUACAAGUUGAAGAAUCUUAGUGCAGAUCAGAAUAUCUACAAUCAUAGUUACUAAAACUUUGAAAGGAAGCGUGCAGAGGGUGAUACUUCUCUUCUUGACAUCUAUUAGUCAACACAUAUCUAGUUUGUCGUCUAUUCUGAUUAAGAAGAAGAAAAAUGGACCAUAGUUGGAUGAAUGCAAGAAGAUUCACUCAUGAGUAUCAAAAUGGGGUUGAACAAUUUUUGGAAUUUGCUCAAUGAAAUCGAGCAGAUUUAAAUAGAAAAUUGUAUCGUCCUUGUGUUAAUUGUUUAAUUGGGAGACGACAUGCAAUUGAUGAAAUACGGGACCAUCUUAUUUGUGAUGGGUUUUUAAUGAGCUAUACAACAUGGAUAUGGCAUGGUGAAGAUAAAGAAACUCGAACAGUGUCUCAUACUGAGUAAGGUGAUGUAGAAAUGGAAGAUCAAAUAGAGGACAUGAUUCGUGAUGUGGGACAAGAGUCUUUCCAACAAGAACAUUCACAUGUGUAUGAUAAUUUAAAAAGUGACUCAAAGACACCCUUGUUUCGUGAUUGUACAACCUUCACACGAUUAUCAACGGUCUUAAGAUUGAUAAAUUUUGAAGGAAAAAAAUGGGUGGAGUGAUAAAACUUUCACAGAGUUGCAUGAGUUGUUGAAGUUAAUGCUUCCAAAAGACAACACGUUGCCAAAUUGUCAUUAUGAGGAGAAAAAGGUUUUGUGUCCUAUGGGUCUACAGUAUAAGAAAAUACAUGCAUGCCCUAAUGAUUGCAUAUUGUAUAGAAAAGAGUUUGAAACAUUGCACAAAUGUCCUUCUUGUGGGCUAUCAUGGUACAAAGUGAAUGAUGGUGGUGGUAGUAGUGAUGAAGAUGUAGUUGAGAAGGGGGCCCUAGCGAAGGUGUUAUGGUAUCUUCCAGUCAUUCCAAGGUUUAAGCAAUUGUUUGCUAAUGCAAAUGACACAAUGAACCUUACAUGGAAUGUGGAAAAUAGAAAUUGUGAUGGCAUGCUUCGCCAUCCAGCUGAUUCUCCGCAAUGGAAAAAAAUUGAUGGUUUGUUUCCAGAUUUUGGU